rnacentral:tRNA from 1 species
GGAGAUAUGAUGCAAUUGGCGAGACAUAGCGCACUCAAAAUGCGCCACACUAGAAACAUUGUCGGUUCGAAUCCGACUAUCUCCA